GGACAUAAAGCCGAACCUGAGGAGUCAAGGCGGUCCACGGGUAUCACGCCGAGACCCCAUCAGCGAGUGGCCGACAGACCCGGUUCGUCGCUCUCGUGGGAACUCGCUAAGCGGUACGGGGCUCUGUGAUGGUGCCGUGACCUUUGCCAUUUGAAGGUGACGCCUGGAGAGCCUUCAGGAAGGGCCGAGGAGUUGCUGCAGAGCCCGCGAUGACGGCGGCGGCCUCCGAGCGUGGCCGUAGCGUGCGGCCCGAGGAGCCGGGCGUUCUUAGCAGAAGGCUGACCAAGAGACCAGAGCCCGGUGACUGCGGAAAAUUCCCAGCGGGUGAGGCGGCCUUCCUUGGCAGCGGAGGCGGAUUGUCAUCCCCGGACGUCCAAGAGAUAAGUGGAGGGUUACGAGCCCCCUGAGAGGGGGACGAAAGCGAGGUGCUGGGAGGGUUUUUUGAGUGGCAGCUUUGGAGGCGGGGUUGUG